rnacentral:rRNA from 1 species
UUACCUGGCCUUGACAUACUAAGAACUUUCCAGAGAUGGGAUUGGUGCCUUCGGGAACUUAGAUACAGGUGCUGCAUGGCUGUCGUCAGCUCGUGUCGUGAGAUGUUGGGUUAAGUCCCGCAACGAGCGCAACCCUUUUCCUUAUUUGCCAGCGGGUUAAGCCGGGAACUUUAAGGAUACUGCCAGUGACAAACUGGAGGAAGGCGGGGACGACGUCAAGUCAUCAUGGCCCUUACGGCCAGGGCUACACACGUGCUACAAUGGUCGGUACAAAGGGUUGCUACCUCGCGAGAGGAUGCUAAUCUCAAAAAGCCGAUCGUAGUCCGGAUCGCAGUCUGCAACUCGACUGCGUGAAGUCGGAAUCGCUAGUAAUCGCGGAUCAGAAUGCCGCGGUGAAUACGUUCCCGGGCCUUGUACACACCGCCCGUCACACCAUGGGAGUUUGUUGCACCAGAAGUAGGUAGUCUAACCGCAAGGAGGACGCUUACCACGGUGUGGCCGAUGACUGGGGUGAAGUCGUAACAAGGUAAGCGUAGAUGA